CCUACGGGUGGCAGCAGUGAGGAAUAUUGGUCAAUGGACGAGAGUCUGAACCAGCCAAGUAGCGUGAAGGAUGACUGCCCUAUGGGUUGUAAACUUCUUUUAUAUGGGAAUAAAAUGUUCCACGUGUGGGAUUUUGUAUGUACCAUAUGAAUAAGGAUCGGCUAACGCCGUGCCAGCAGCCGCGGUAAUACGGAGGAUCCGAGCGUUAUCCGGAUUUAUUGGGUUUAAAGGGAGCGUAGGUGGAUUGUUAAGUCAGUUGGGAAAGUUUGCGGCUCAACCGUAAAAGUGCAGUUGAAACUGGCAGUCUUGAGUACAGUAGAGGUGGGCGGAAGUCGUGGUGUAGCGUUGAAAUGCUUAGAUAUCACGAAGAACUCCGAUUGCGAAGGCAGCUCACUGGACUGCAACUGACACUGAGGCUCGAAAGUGUGGGUAUCAAACAGGAUUAGAUACCCCGGUAGUC
rnacentral:rRNA from 1 species